rnacentral:rRNA from 1 species
UACGUAGGGGGCAAGCGUUGUCCGGAUUUAUUGGGCGUAAAGAGCGUGUAGGCGGCCAGGUAGGUCCGCUGUGAAAACUCGAGGCUCAACCUCGAGAUGUCGGCGGAAACCAUUUGGCUAGAGUCCGGAAGAGGAGAGUGGAAUUCCUGGUGUAGCGGUGAAAUGCGCAGAUAUCAGGAAGAACACCAAUGGCGAAAGCAGCUCUCUGGGGACGGUACUGACGCUGAGACGCGAAAAGCGUGGGGGAGCGAACAGG